rnacentral:rRNA from 1 species
CCCUUAGAUGUUCUGGGCCGCACGCGCGCUACACUGACUGGUUCAUCGAGUAUACAACCUUGACUGAUAGAUCUGGGUAAUCUUCUCAAAGCCAGUCGUGCUGGGGAUAGAUUAUUGUAAUUUUUAAUCUUCAACGAGGAAUUCCCAGUAAACGCGAGUCAUCAACUCGCAUUGAUUACGUCCCUGCCCUUUGUACACACCGCCCGUCGCUACUACCGAUUGAAUGGCUUAGUGAGCUUUCUGGACUGUUGCACUUCGUUGGAAACUUCGUUGUGCAUACGGGAAGGAAAUCAAACUUGAUCAUUUAGAGGAAGUAAAAGUCGUAACA